UUAUCAACACCUAUUUAUGUUGUUUCUACUAAUAGGCCAGUACUUCGCUACUUAUAAGGAGGCACACAGAAAAAGGCAAAAAGAAAAAAAAAAAAAAAAGUGUAACCCCUGCUAUCAAGGAGAUUGAAGGGAAUGAGAAAAUAACAAAUGUGAAAAAGUUAGUAAGUACUUAGCUAUUGGGAUAAAUAGAGUACAAAGGGCUCUUGGAGACAACAGAAAAUAGUAACAGUGAGAAGAGUUAGACAAUGAGAAAAUCAGAACUUGAAUUGGACUUUGAAAUGCUGGUAGAAUUUGAGAGGCAGAAAGGAUGUGAGGUGUGACUCCAGGUGUUGGAUGAAUAGCUGGACCUGUCAACAACAAUCACAAAGGAUCCAGAAGGUACACUGAUGAGCAUGAAGAAAAGAAAAAGGAAAAAGAACAGCAAGAAAGACGCAAACAUUUACUCUUUUGUUUUAACUCUAACAAUUAGGAGUUAGGUAGUUAUCCUUAUUUUUAUCCUUAUUUUACAGAAGGAGCAAAUGUGGCACAGAAAAAAUAGUGGCAGAGGUGGUUUCACCCCUGAAACUCUAUGGUUUCAAAACACUGCUUGCCGAUCCCCCCAACUCCUCGUAUUGCCUCUGAAGACAUUUUGCUGUGCUCUGGAGAAUGAAAAUCAAAGGUGGUCUCUGAUUCAGAGAAACCUUUACUCAUUCAACUUGAGAGAAAAGAUGCAGACAUGGAAAAUGAGCACACAGGCAUCAUUGUCACAACAGGAGGCAUUCCACAAAGAGUUGCUUGGUUUACCCUGUAAAGAGAGGAGGAGUGGAAAGUGGGAGAAAGAAGAAACGUUAUGAUAUCCAUGCUUAGACUUUGCUUUGUAAUCAAUAUAUUCUGCAUAUAUUAUACCACAUCCUCCUUUCCUCCCCAAACACACGUACCAUGCUCAUUUCCUUCUGUAAAACUUAAUUAAUAUAUUAUCAAUACAUUUUUAUAGCUUUCCACCUCUUCUCUCUGUCUGGACAUUCUUUUUCAGUUGUUGAAGAUGCAGGGACAGUCAUUGCUCAUGUCUACCUACCUACUCUCAUUUCUAUUAGGUGACUGCUCUUCCCCAUCUCAUGGAUUACGAGAGGACUGUCACUCAUAUUACCUCGCCACUCCCAGCCUCAGGGGUGGGCAUUUGAUACUUGUGGCACCUCUGUCCAUGGUACUCUGCCUACAAGGUGAGCUCCCAGCCAUGCGGAGCCAAUAGGUGUCCUACCGAGAUUCCAUUAGACAGACAGAAACCAGAGAGGAAAAAUGCUUUGCUGCUGGGAUACCAAACAGUGAGGACUGAUAGAAACCAGAAGCUGGAAGUGGCCCUCUUUCUUCCGUGAAAAGAGUUGCCUGAGAAAGAAAACAAACUCCUAGGAAAGGAGUGCUGAGACCAGGCAGGAGACAGUGUGACAAAAAAUGAGAAAAACAUUAUUUGAGCACUUGGACUGAG
rnacentral:lncRNA from 1 species